UACGUAGGGUCCGAGCGUUGUCCGGAAUUAUUGGGCGUAAAGGGCUCGUAGGCGGUUUGUUGCGUCGGGAGUGAAAACUUACAGCUUAACUGUGAGCGUGCUUCCGAUACGGGCAGACUUGAGGUAUUCAGGGGAGAACGGAAUUCCUGGUGUAGCGGUGAAAUGCGCAGAUAUCAGGAGGAACACCGGUGGCGAAGGCGGUUCUCUGGGAAUAUCCUGACGCUGAGGAGCGAAAGUGUGGGGAGGCGAACAGG
rnacentral:rRNA from 1 species